UGUUUCUCCGGGACGGUGUCUGUGGAGAUCCCUGAGGGGUUUUCUCUUGGAUUCCCAGCAUUUAUUCAAAAAUGACAAUUAAAUACUUAAUUUUUGAAAACUGGUGAAGAUCAAAGUUUUUGAUUCUCGGAAAUAAAAAAAAUAAAGAGAACUAAACGCCAAUUAUAGUAGAUUUAUUAUUUAGGAAUCCGAGAAUCAUAUCACCAUUAACGAGGCUAUUUAUUUUGUCUUGUUAAUUAGGAGCAAAAUUUUAAAAAGAAGAAUAUAAACAAACCUCAUUCCAAUGUUAAGCAACACGCAUAUCUUAGAGAAAGAAGCACAAAGGCUCAAACUUUGGCACUUCCUUCCUCGUG